UACGGAGGGUGCGAGCGUUGUCCGGAAUCACUGGGCGUAAAGGGCGCGUAGGCGGCAUGCCAAGCGUGUGGUGAAAGCCCGGGGCUCAACCCCGGGUCGGCCGUGCGGACUGCCGCGCUGGAGCACUGUAGAGGCGGGCGGAAUUCCGGGUGUAGCGGUGGAAUGCGUAGAGAUCCGGAAGAACACCGGUGGCGAAGGCGGCCCGCUGGGCAGUGGCUGACGCUGAGGCGCGACAGCGUGGGGAGCAAACAGG
rnacentral:rRNA from 1 species